UAUGAACACAAAAAUAGUUUUUAAUGAAGAAAAUAAUCAAAAUAAGUUUUAUUAAAGAAUAAAAAUACAGUUUUAUUUUAUGAUUAACUAAUUUAGACUUAGAGUUUAGAGUUAAAGAGUAGGGCUUUACGGAUGUUCAAAUUUUUUAAAAUUAAAAUUUGGUUAUUCAAAAGAAUUGUCCGCGGUAGGGAAGAUCACUAGACCAAUCAUAAUCCAGUCUUGGAAUUCAAGUCCUUGUAAGAACUAUUCAUUCAAGUCACUAUUCCGGUAAAUUUUUACUUAUAACAAUGGAAAAUAUUUUAGGAUAACACUAAAAAAGUUUAUAUCACAAAUAUAGACUCUAAGAAUCAAAAUGACUAAAAUGUUUCAUUAAAGAGGUAAAUCAAUACUAUUAAAACUGAAGGGCCUUUUUUGAGACUCCCUUAAAGUUUUGAAGUAUUUACAGAUCUCUGCCACUGAUAUCUUCUUAGUCUAUGCUUUUAAUUAAAUAUUUUUAUUUUAUUUUUGUAAAUCACAGUGAUUAUCCAUUCAGUAUUUAGAGUAUUUUUUUUUGACAACUAAAGUAUUUAGAGUAUUUAAACGAUUCAAACUAUGGUUUAUUUAAAGCAGGAUUAUUCUACGGUAACUGAAGAUAAACAAUCUUUUUUUUUUUGAUAAACAGACUUUAAUAUUUCAAGAACUGAAAAAAAAUAAGACUUACAAAGCAAAUAUGGAAAUAAAACCCAAAGAGAGAUUGCAUCGUCCUCUUCACCACCAUAUUGUUCUUCCAGCGCCAUGUUCACAUCUUCCUUCUUCACCCGUUCAUCAUCAAAGUUUAUACCUGUAAUGUUUGAAGUUUAGUACUCUACAUGUAAGGCACGGUAGUCUACAACUAAAUCACAUACCAAAAUGUACACCAAAAACCACAGAAAAUGCAAUAAUUAUUUAUUUCAAGUUGCAGAUUAUUAAUUGGGAGACGAGGGACACAAGAAGAAACUACAUACAUACUUCAUGUUGCAUUUUAUUGGAAUAUUUUUAAUCUAUGAUUUUAGUUAGAUGUUUUUUAUUUUUCUGAAACUCAUAGAUAACCAUCUCAUUAUUAUGUAUAAUCUUUUUCCACUUAUUUAGUUAAUUUACUGUGUGUAAUUAUAUACAAAAUUCCCAUUUAUUUUGAAUAAAAAUUUCGAGAUUAACAACUAUGAAACAAACUAGCUAAGUUUAUUUGCAAAUCUUUUUUUCAAAUGCAAUUCUUAAAAAAAAUCUAAUUUUUAACUAAGCAUAAACUGGUAUAAAAUCGCAACUACAUUGUGAUAUUCUAUCUCAAUUGAACAACUUCAAUCAUUCAAAAAAAAUUAAUCAUAUAUGUAUAUCCCUAGGAUAUUCCUAAUUAAAACGAUUUUAUAUGUUUACUAUCCUAAUAAUUUUCUAGCGAUAGGAAGUAUAUAAAUAGCCUUUCAAACACAACAAAUAUAACCAUUCUAAACCUCCAAACUGUCUACCGUGAUCUACACUUAUGGGUUCCAUAAUCAAAAUCAGAAAUCUAAGUGAUGUUAAGCCUUUCAAAUCUGCAUAGAGAGUUCAGGUGAAAGUGCUUCAUACGUGGAAGUCAUGCAAUCCCCAAUUUGGUUCUUCUCUUCAGAUGGUUCUAAUAGACAAAAAUGUAAGCCCUAUAAUUAUGGAACUAUCGUCUAUUAUAUAUUUAUAAUAUAUGUACUUCAGCCUUUUUUUUUUACAUGUUUUAAGGUGUGAAAAUUCAUUGUUGCAACACCUCGAGACACUGUCGAGAUGGAGAAUGGAAAGUUAUUACUAAUUCAGUUCUAAUAUUAGGUGAUUGAAUAGUCCUUACUUACCUUAUUUUUUUAAGUAUCAUGUAGCAUGGCAUCUAUGUUAUUCCUCUUUUAUAGAUCUUGAUUCUUGAAUGGUUUGCAGUACAUCCUAACUGUAAAAUAAAACACAACAUAAAAAUCCUGUUAUGGCUAAACACGUUAGGUUUGUAAAUAAUUUCAAACAGUGAUAUAAAUAAUUUUAUCAAAAUCAUAGAUUUGUAUACAAAUAUACUAUUUUUUCUCGCCAAAUGUAUUUUCAAAUAUUUUAUUAAUUGCAAUUAUAUAUUUUAAAAAAAUAUAUAUAUAUAUAUAUUCAAAAGAGCAUAAAAUCCGAAAAUAAAACCACAUUGAAGAGCAUCUAUACAUAACAAUAUGGAAUAUACUUGGAUAUUAAAGAAACUUAUUUAAAAAAUAAGUAAUAUCUUCUGAAAUAUAUAUAUACAUAACAAUAUGGAAUACAACCAAUCAUUUAAAUUCAUCGUAUUUUCAACAUAUCAAUAAGAAACAAAACAAAACAGGAAACCGCGAAUUUUGUUAACUAAAAAUAAAAACGGGUUAAUAAAUUUGAUACGGAUAAACAUGACUAUAUUUAAAUUAUAAAUAUUUACCUUUUUAAACAAUUAUAUAUUUUGUUUUAAUAAUAAAAAUUAUAUAUUUUUAAAAUAAGACAUUAAUAUUUAAAAACAAUUAUAUAUUUUAAAAAUAAGACAAGUAAUAUUAACUUCAUCAAUCCUUGCAAGAGAAAAAAAACUUUAAAAUUGGUAUCUGAAACGAUUUACUCUAGGACAAAGGCAAACCUUUGGAGAUUUGCUCAUUUCAAUAUCAAAUCGAUAGAGCUCACUAAUAUCUGACUGUUAAUUUUUCAGAUCGGAAUCUAUUUUAUUCGAUUUCUUUCCAUUUAAGCCAUCCUAGAGGACAUGCCAAAUAAAUCAAAACAUAAAAAAAAAUUGGUUAAACUUGGGGCUUUGAGUUCAACUGAGUAUCGACAAUGAAAGAAUUACAGGAACGGAUUUACCUUGGAGAUGCCUCUUGAGUUGAAUCGUGGAAGAGCCGAUUGGUUUCUUUAAUCUCCAUAUGAAGGUUAUUUUUUAUUUUUUAUUUUCUAUUAACCGAUGCAUUUGUCUGAAAAUUACAAAGGAAGAAAGCAAUUAAUCUUCCGAUUGAUGAAGAUCAAAACAGUGAUAUCGGUUUGGGCUAAUUUCGUUUUUGGGCUGUUCUAAAGCGGUUGGAUCCUUAAUAACACCUCAUCUUGGUUUAUAUUGAUAAAAAUAUUGACAAAUAUUUUUCUGGCCCAUUGUUUAGUCCAUUCUUAAUAAAUUAAUUCAUAUAGUAUAAUUUUUAAAAAAAAUCUAAAUAUUUUAUUAAUGCUAUAUACAUAUUAUAAAAAAAUAUGAGCAAUUUUAAGGUUAAGAUAAAAAUAUGUUAUCCUAUAACGUUAUAAAAAAAAUCUAUAAUCUCACUUUUAUUCCUAAGUUAUACUUAAAAACAUAAAUAUUAUAUAUGUACUAUAUAUUUUUUGCAUAUUUAAAAUUUUGAAAGUGCAUAUAGAUGAUUAUCUAUCUUGGUGUUUUAGUUAAAAAUAAAAUAAAAUAAUAUAUAUAUAUAUAUGUAUAUACUAUUAAACUAAUGAGAACUGAUAUCACUUACUCAAAACAUAAACUAAAAUCUCAAAUAUGUAACUCUGAAAUAGUAUUAUGCAUCCUAAUAUGUGUUUUACUAUAUACAACCGAAGUAUACAUUGUUUGAUAUUUAAGUUUAACAUCAAACAAAUCCCGCGCUUUAAAAGCGCGGGUCAAUAUCUAGUAUACAAUUAUACCUCUAGGGUUAACUAAUCCAAACCUUAGGGUUUAGAGUUAAUGGGUGGGCAUUUGGGUUUGAGGUUUAAAAUUUUAUAAAAUUGAAAAUAAAUAUUAAAAUUUUAAAAAUAAAAAUUUUAAAAAUUGUUUCAAAAAGUAUUUUCAAAUUACAAAAAGAAAAUUUGAAAAUAAAAUUUUGAGAAAACAAAUUCAAAAAAAAAAAAAUUGAAUUUGAAAACAUAUAAUCUAAAACUAUAAAAAAUAUUUUUUUUAUUUUUUUAUAUAUCUAGAGUAUUAGUGUCAUUUUACCUAUUAAAUGAAUAUUUUAAUCAUUUUCCUCCUUGUGGUAUAUUUUUGUGACCAAAAUUUGAAAAUGGUAUAUUUACUAGAAUUGCCCUAUAACAAUUCUUUAAUUUUUUAAUUCUUUAUACAUAACCAUCGUUUCAAUGUUUGUGUGUGUGUGUGUGUAUUUUUUGUGUGUUUCAACAUUGUGAGGAAUGUACGUUAAGAACUCACCAGAAGUUUAUGGUUAUGUAUAACUUUAUAAGAUCAAAACAUGUAUGAAUAAUGACAAUACAACUAAUAUAUGCUGGUAUGCACAUUAUAUAUAUGUAAACAUUUUAGAGACAUGGGUAUAUAAAAUAAAUAUUUUACUGUUGUUGACAAAAGAUCAAUGUUUGUAAAAAUGAAGUACAGAUCUCAAUAUCUAAUCCAUAUCUAUCAUGUUUUUCUUUUUAUAUUCCCCUGAUCACUUUUCUUGUUUUUUUUAAUUAGCAUGGAGGCCAAUCACCACUAAUGCAAAUAAUUCUUUGACUUUCAAUAUUUCUCCAAAAAGUAAAAUAUUUAUUUGGUUCAAAGAAGCGGGACCAAUGUAGACACCACACCAUCUUUAGAGCAUCCAUAUUGGUUCUGUGGUUGAUCAAGUUUUAAAAUCUUAAGAUCUACCUGUAAAUUUGAUCCUGAAAAAUGGGUUCUUAAGAUUAUACAUUGGAGUUAAUAUUUUUUAUCAUAUCUCUUUGGGACAAAGAUCAUGAAAACAUUAUGACAAAUGUGUUUUCUUGUGUGAUGCAACAUUGUUAAAUGGGCAAUUUUUGUCACAAAUAUAUUUUUCAAUAAAAAAAUGACCAAAAUAAUUUCUUUUUAUUUUGAAAUUUUAAAUACUUAUCUUUUAUUUUUUUUAAAUUUGAAAUCUUAUCUCCAAAACCACACCCUUUAACUCUAAACCCUAAGUCUAUAUUAGUUAACCCUAAAGUAAAAAAUAUUUUUUUUACCUUUUAAUAAAACUUAUUUUGGUUAUUUUCUUCAUUGAAAAUUAUUUUUUGUGAAAAUUACUUAAAAUGGCUAUCCUAGAGAAUUUCUCUUGUUAAAUUGGAUCCGAAAAACUUAAAUGAAGUCUAAAGAAAACUGGUUAAACAAUGUCUGUUGAUGUUAGUAGAUUUUCUCUAUGAGUUGACUGCUCCAAUUUUUUUUUUUGGGCAAAAUCCUCCGGAUUAGUUAAGGCUUAAAGAUAAAUAAACAUCUAAUAAGUUAGGUUGAGAGAAUCGAUUGAUAUACCAAUUUUAAGAAGUGUACAAGAUUUUGCGAGUGGAUGGUGGAAAGGCCGAGUCUUUUGAUAUUAUAACAUUUUAUUGGCUUUAUGUUGAGCACUAGAGCCAACUUGCUUUCCGAAUCUUUAGCUGGUUGUCGAAUAUUUAUAUCACCAUAUAUGUAAAUGCAUAUUAUAUUGGACCGGAUACGUUGUGCAGUUACAUGUCUCUCUAUUAUAUAUACUUCCUCUCAUUACACUUCCUAUACCCAUCACAAACACUCUUUGAAGUUUGAUGGACAUGCAUGCCCAACGGAGUAGAAUUGCAUGAAGUGGAGUAGAGUAUAAUGCAGCCAAGGAUGACUUGCCGGAGGGUCGUUCAUCAUGCAUAAUAAUAUUGGUGAUGAACAUAAUUCUGGCAAGUUGCCCUUCGGCUACAUUUUGCUCUCUUCUACUCAUGCAAACUCUCCAUGGAAUACUCUACAUUUUCAUUCUUUCAAAUCGACUCUGUGAACCGUACUAAGUACUAACAAGACCCUUAGUAUUGAUCAGAAGUCCAGCAUCGAUCGGUAUGAUAGUAUAUUGAUCAGAAGUCCAGCAUCGAUUGGUAUUGACUCUUUUAUUAAUGAUUACUUUUCUUCUUGUGUCUUUCAAUAUUAAAGGAAGAUUUUCUUUUGUUUCUUAUUACAAACGACUUCUUGGAGAGGCACUUAAAAGAGGAUAUAGUUUAUGCAAAAUCUUUAGUUAAGAGAUUUAUAAGCACUUGUGUAUAUAUAAUAAUGAAUUCAGUCCACCAAAUGGGUUUGAGCUUCAUAUUUAUUACAGAUGCAACUGGUUUGUUGAGUUAAGAUUCAUGGACAAAAGGUUUGGCUGUUCUUGUCUGUUUUUUCCCCCAUCAUAUUUAAAAGUUUAAUAUACAUAUUAAAAUAGUCUCAGUAGAAAAAAUGUAGGAUUGUCUUGGAUGUUUUGACUUACAAAUAGGAUAAUCCCAACUAUUAUGGGAACGAGCUUGCUUGCAUUGGCCGUCCUAAUCUAUAGUUAUUUGUUUGUUUAGAAGAAUGUCACAACAUACAUAUCAUACCCUAAACAUAGUGUAAUAAUGCAUUGUUGUUGUUGGCAUCUGUCCACUCCAAUGCGUACGGUGUAGUUUAUCUGGAAUUAUAUAUAUGCUGUCAAUUAUCAUUUCUUGACCUAAUAUAUAUAAACGAAAUCAAUUAUAAUUGGUAGAUUGUUUUGUUGGACGUAUAUUACGAAACAGUCUAGAGAAUUAUAUAAAAGCGAUUAAAAAGGGCGAAAAGAAGCCGAAAUUUGUGGAAUAUUAUGAAAUGUGCGUUGUCGUUUUUCUGAAUAUAAAGUACUAUGGGCCGACAAAAGUAGCCAUGUAAUAAAGAUUUUGGUCAGACAAUCAUAAACCAAAUCCUUGAACGCAAUAUAAGAAGAGACACUCAUCAAGUCAUCAUCACUUUCCUCUUUAAAAUGUACCAGCUUUUUGGUUACGUGCAUUAUCAAUCAUGUUCCUAUAUCGUAAUCCUCUUUUCUUUUUGUUGCUUACUUACCGGAUAGGACAAGAACAAAAACGCCACCGUUUACUAGGACAAACACUCAAUCAUCCAGACUACUAAUUUUAUUUUGUAAGCAUAUGCAUAUGUAUUAUAAUAAUCUCUUUAAUUACUCCUUUUCUUUAACUCCACGCUUACUUUGUAACUUCUAAAUGAUAUAUGAACAAAAACCAAUUCAAAUUUCCAGAACACAAGAGAAAUGAGUUUUUGAACUUGAGUGUGAAUUGAGUUUCCUUACGCAAAGAAGUUUUAAUUAACAUUAUACGUGAGUUGUGACUUUACGCGUCGACCGAUGUGCAUUUACGUAUGAUUCUUUUUUUUAAUAGGGAAAAAUAUCACUUGCGAUUCAAGUUGAUCGAGCCCAGGCCUUUCCGAGGAGAAGCAACUUGCACACAAAAAAUUAAAAGAAAUAAACAUACUAAUAUUCAUGAAAAAGUGGUCAAUAUAAAAUUCAUACGUUAUUGAUGAAGGAUAUGAGAACAAGACGAUGGAGGUCUUACCCAGAAUGGAUAAGACCAUAACAAGAUUCAAGCCUAAAAUAGAAAUAUAUAUCGAAUAUGUAAGAUAACAUUAAUUAAAUACAGGAAAAGCUGCGAUUGAUUGAUUCCCCACUCCCCUUGCGUAACCUUUGUUUUACAAGUUGGCCACUUGAUCACGCACUCAUAUGAAAAACAGCAAUAUUAUACAACAGUAAAUUAACGGGUAGCCAAAAGAAAAGUGUAAAAUUAUGUGUGUUUAGCCAUAGAUAGUUGAUGCUUUUUAUUUGAUUUUCUCUUUUGAGGGUUAGAAAAAUGUAAAAAUAUGUGUUUCUAGCCAUAGAUAGUUAAUGCUUUCUAUUUGAUUUUCUCUUGUGAGAAUAUAUUAAAACUAUAUUUUUUCUUUCUUUUUCUGUUGACAUUAAUCUUUGCAAGUUGAAAACAUCGAAUCUUAAAUCAUUUUUUAAUCAAGUCGAACCGAAAAUUGAAUUUCAUUUUAAACCUACCUAAUCGAACAGAACUCCUACCCGAACUAACCGAAAUUUAAUUUGGUUCGGCAGGUACGACCGUUUAAGCCGAAGACUCUUCAUUUGUAACUUCCUUAUGUGACAACAAGAUUCUAAUAUAAGGCGCCCUCUUGUGUUUUGAUAGAACAAACGAAUAAUUUCAAAUUUUCUGUGAAUUAAUAACCAAAGAAUUUGAAUUUAAGAAAGAAGCAUGUGUUACAACAAGAAGACGUUCACUACAACAACAAAAAAAAAAAA